rnacentral:lncRNA from 1 species
UGUUGGACUUGGAAUUGAUUUAGGAGAAAAUAUAUAGAUUCUACACUGUCACUUUCUGAAAAUUACCAGUUUUAGCUUUAGGAGCUGUGGUUCAUUUGUAUCGCCGUUGUUUGAAUACGGUGGAUAUCCAGAAUAGUGUAGAAUGAAUUUAAGCUCGUGUUGGGAUGCCGAGUUUAUUUUACAGUAGUGUAUAGAUUGUUUUGGACUGUUGGGUGCAGUCACGACUAGCGGUGGACCCAGAUUGCUGUUUUUGCAUCCGAUUGUGCCAAGAGCACGUGAGUUU